GGCUCGUUGGUCUAGGGGUAUGAUUCUCGCUUAGGGUGUGAGAGGGCCCGGGUUCAAAUCCUGGACGAGCCC
rnacentral:tRNA from 1 species